rnacentral:lncRNA from 1 species
UCUAAAAACCUUUCUUACUUCUCUUACCACCCUACACUCCAUUCUCACACACCCUUUCCAAACAUCCAACCAUGUCGCUCACAAUUCCCACCAAUCUAUCCAAGCCUGCCGCCCUCCGCCCCAAACUAGGCUCCAAACUGCGCCCCACCAUCGUCUGCAGUGCUACUCCCAACAACAACUCCGACAACAACAACAACAUAUCCUCCGAUCUGAAGGCCUUCUCCGCCGCCCUCGCCCUCUCCUCCAUCCUGCUCUCGGCGCCGCUCCCCGCCGUCGCGGACAUCUCCGGUCUGACCCCGUGCAAGGAGUCCAAGCAGUUCGCAAAGCGCGAGAAGCAGUCGAUAAAGAAGCUGGAGUCAUCGCUGAAGCUGUACGCGCCGGACAGCGCUCCCGCCCUGGCGAUAAAGGCGUCGGUGGAGAAGACGAAGCGGCGGUUCGACAACUACGCGAAGCAGGGUCUUCUGUGCGGCGCCGACGGGCUACCGCACCUGAUCGUGAGCGGGGACCAGAGGCACUGGGGCGAGUUCAUCACUCCUGGGUUCCUAUUCCUGUACAUCGCCGGGUGGAUCGGGU